ACUGGCACUGACACACGGGCCAGACUCCUACGGGAGGCAGCAGUGAGGAAUAUUGCACAAUGGGCGAAAGCCUGAUGCAGCAACGCCGCGUGGAUGAUGAAGGCCUUCGGGUCGUAAAAUCCUUUUCUGGAGGAAGAGCAAGGACGGUACUCCAGGAAUAAGCGUCGGCUAACUACGUGCCAGCAGCCGCGGUAAAACGUAGGACGCAAGCGUUAUCCGGAUUUACUGGGCGUAAAGCGCGUGCAGGUGGUGAUGUAAGUCGGACGUGAAAGCUCCUGGCUCAACUAGGAGAGGUCGUUCGAAACUGCAACACUUGAGGACGGUAGAGGAGAGUGGAAUUCCGGGUGUAGUGGUGAAAUGCGUAGAUAUCCGGAGGAACACCAGUAGCGAAGGCGGCUCUCUGGGCCGUUCCUGACACUAGGACGCGAAAGCUAGGGGAGCGAACGGGAUUAGAAACCCCGGUAGUCCUAGCCGUAAACGAUGGAGACUAGGUGUAGGGAGUAUAAACCUCUCUGUGCCACAGCUAACGCGUUAAGUCUCCCGCCUGGGGACUACGACCGCAAGGUUAAAACUCAAAGGAAUUGACGGGGCCCCGCACAAGCAGUGGAGCGUGUGGUUUAAUUCGAGGCUACACGAAGGACCUUACCAGGGUUUGACAUGUACGUGGUGGGAAUCCGAAAGGUGACCGACCCUUCGGGGAGCGUACACAGGUGUUGCAUGGCUGUCGUCAGCUCGUGCCGUGAGGUGUUAGGUUAAGUCCUGUAACGAGCGCAACCCUUACCGCUAGUUAUACGUGUCUAGCGGGACUGCCCGGCUCAACUGGGAGGAAGGUGGGGACGACGUCAAGUCAGCAUGGCCUUUAUAUCCUGGGCUACACACACGCUACAAUGGACGGUACAAUGGGUCGCCAAGCCGCGAGGUGGAGCCAAUCCUAAAAAACCGUUCUCAGUUCAGAUUGUAGGCUGCAACUCGCCUGCAUGAAGUUGGAGUUGCUAGUAACCGCGCGUCAGCAAUAGUGCGGUGAAUACGUUCCCGGGGCUUGUACACACCGCCCGUCACGUCAUGGGAGCUGGUAACACCUGAAGCCGGUGGGCUAACCGCAAGGAGGCAACUGUCGAAGGUGGGACUGGUGACUGGGACGAAGUCGUAACAAGGUAGCUGUACCGGAAGGUGCUGCUG
rnacentral:rRNA from 1 species